GACGGAGGGUGCAAGCGUUGUUCGGAAUUACUGGGCGUAAAGGGCGCGUAGGCGGUCUGUUAAGUUCGGUGUGAAAGCCCCCGGCUCACCUGGGGAACUGCGCCGGAAACCGACAGACUCGAGUACCGGAGAGGAGGGUGGAAUUCCUGGUGUAGCGGUGAAAUGCGUAGAGAUGUGGAGGAACACCAAUGGCGAAGGCAGCCUUCUGGGCCAACACUGACGCUCAUGCACGAAAGCGUGGGGAGCAAACAGG
rnacentral:rRNA from 1 species